rnacentral:piRNA from 1 species
UGAAUUGAUGAUCCUUUGUGUUGGCUG